AGAUUUAAAAUCAGGAAGAUUCUAUCCACUGGUCCACCUAACUGUCCGAUGCUAAUUUUACCUCACCUUUAUAUAGCCCUACAAAGCUUCCUAAAUGCUUUGCUUAGAUUAGCCCAUUUUAUCUCCUCAAAAACUCAUCUAGUACUCCAGGCUCCCUGUUUACAACUGAAACAUUCUUAAACCUUUACCUAAGACUGCUUUUCUGAUUCCACAGCAUUAAGUAACUCUCAGCAAAAAAAAUCACUCUCCUUCCCAAUCUCCCCUUUCCCCCCCAAAAGGCAGGACCCUGUUCUAUGUUAUGCAGACACAUUGGAGGCUUCAAUGAGAAAUCUUUUCUUUAAAUUGCAGAAGUCACUGUGGUAUAAUAGAAAGAACACUUUACAUGGAGGCAGAAAAUGGGGAUUUUAACAGCUGUUUGAUGACAGCUCUCAUCUAUGGCUCUAAGAAGCUGUAGUAUGCUCAGCAUACACACUCCAAGAAUACCAUUUUGGCAGAUGGGCUAAAGCAGAUUGAUAAUAACCAUAUUCACAGGUACACAUGUGAGAAUAUAAGGAAUUUGUAAGAAGCCGUGAACCAUUUGUGCAGCUCUGUGAGACUACUUAAAACCUGAGGAAAUCUGAAUUCGUGUGCCAACUGCACCAGGGAAACCCUACACCCAGCCAAACAUUUUCGUUGGCAAAUCAAACCUGUAAGCUGUCAACGGAUUCUGCUAUCUGGCAACCAAUUGUUCAACAAUGUGCUGAUAGACAAAGAAAGCAGAAACCCAAAGAAAGAAAGCCAACAUGCCAUUUGAAGAAAGGAGCUGAUAGAGAGGGUCGAGAUGGGCAUGGGAAGCCAGAUAGAUUCCACUGCUUAUUAUUCUCUCUGAACUGGGCAAAGACUUACAGGAUCCAGGAUGGAUGACCUCUAGCUCUCUAUCUCUGAGACCCAGGGACCCUUUGUUAUUUAUUAAUAAAAUUCUUUUUAACAAUUUAAAGUGU